rnacentral:lncRNA from 1 species
AAGCUUUAAACCAGCAGAGACCUCAGACAAAUCAUAUCCCUCCUGGGGUGACCAGGUGCAGAUCUUCCAGGGAGCCGUCUAAUGGAAUUUCCUGGUUAAUGGACACAGAGAACCACUGCUAAGAACGAUUUCCUUUUCUCUUUCAAUCUGCAGUACUUUUUAUGAAGACUGGUCUUUUGUGAUGGAUGAAGAGAGGUCCAGUAUGCUUCCUACCAUGGCAGCAGGUCCGAACUCCAUACUCUUUGCGAUUAACAUUGACAACAAGGAUUUGAACGGGCAGAGUAAGUUUGCUCCCACCGUUUCAGACCUCUUAAAGGAGUCAACGCAGAAUGUGACCUUGCUGAAGGAGUCCACGCAAGGAGUGAGCAGCGUGUUCAGGGAGAUCACAGCCUCCUCUGCCAUCUCCAUCCUCAUCAAACCUGAACAGGAGACCGACCCCUUGCCCGUCGUGUCCAGGAAUGUCAGUGCUGAUGCCAAAUGCAAAAAGGAGCGGAAGAAGAAAAAGCAAGUGACCAACAUUAUCUCAUUUGAUGAUGAGGAAGAUGAGCAGAACUCUGGGGACAUGUUUAAAAAGACACCUGGGGCAGGGGAGAGCUCAGAGGACAACUCCGACCACUCCUCUGUCAAUAUCAUGUCCGCCUUUGAAAGCCCCUUCGGGCCAAACUCCAAUGGAAGUCAGAGCAGCAACUCGUGGAAAAUUGAUUCCCUGUCUUUGAACAGGGAGUUUGGGUACCAGAAGCUUGAUGUGAAAAGCAUCGAUGAUGAAGAUGUGGAUGAAAACGAAGAUGACGUGUAUGGAAACUCAUCAGGACGGAAGCACAGGGGCCACUCAGAGUCGCCCGAGAAAAACGGAGCACACUCUGUCACCCAGGCUGGAGUGCAAUGGCACGAUCUCAGCUCACUACAACCUCUGCCUCCCGGGUUCAAGUGAUUCUACUGCCUCAGCCUCCUAAGUAGCUGGGAUUACAGGCGCCUGCCACCACACCCAGCUAAUUUUUGCAUUUUUAGUAGAGAAAGGGUUUCGCCAUGUUGGCCAGGCUGGUCUUGAACUCCUGACUUCAGGUGAUCCUCCUCGCCUGCCUUGCCUCCCAAAGUGCUGGGAUUACAGGCAUAAGCCACCACGCCCGGCCCUGCCUCUUGAGCUGGGGAGUUCAAGACCAGCCUGGGCAACAUAAUGAGAUUUCAGCUCUAUUAAAAAUAAUAAUAAUU